rnacentral:rRNA from 1 species
UUUAAGGUCUAAUCUGCCCUAUGAGGAAUUAAAUGGCUGCGGUAUUUUGACCGUGCAAAGGUAGCAUAAUAAUUAGUUUCUUAAUUGGAAGCUGGAAUGAAUGAUUGGACGAGAAAAUUUCUGUCUCAAUUUAAUUUAAUUAGAAUUUUAUUUUUAAGUAAGAAAGCUUAAAUUUUUUUAAAAGACGAGAAGACCCUAUAGAGUUUUAAAUAAUAUUUUGUAUUAAUUUUUUAGUAUUGUGAUGUUAAUAUUUUUUAAAAUUUUUUAUUGGGGUGAUAGAGAAAUUUGAUUAACUUUUUUUAUAUGAUAUCAUUGAUUUAUGUUUUAAUGAUCCAUUUUUUAUGAUUAUAAGAUUAAAUUACCUUAGGGAUAACAGCGUAAUUUUUUUUAGAGUUCUUAUCGAAUAAAGAGAUUGCGACCUCGAUGUUGGAUUAAAAUAUAUAUUUGGUGUAGGGGCUAAAUAAUUAGGUCUGUUCGACCUUUAAAAUUUUACA